AAAAUGAAUUAUUUUUUUUACCAAACCUUUUGAUGUGAAGUCACUGUUACUAAUGCCCUUCUGCCUCCUGCAGCUCCAGCCUAAAUGUGGGACAAGGAGUCACUGCAUCCAGCUGAACUGAAAGUGCUCACUAAUUAAGUGAGCCAAGGAGCCCUCCGCUCACGAGGAAUGGCUAGGUGAUAAUCACGUCUGCAUGCAAACGCUAAAUCCAACCUCUCCCCCCUCCCCGCCUCAGCCCCUCCUUGAAGUUAAAAACUUUUGGCUCAAGAAUGCGGUAGGGUUGUCCUCCUGCUACUCCCACUCCUCCUGCACCCCUUCCUCCGCCGCAAGGCCCUCCCCCUGCUCAAUUUGGAUUAGGCUGUACCUUUUCUUCUCUCCUUCAAGGGUGAGGGUUUUAUUCCCUUCUUUUCUGCCCAGAUCUCCACUAAACAAAGGAGCUCUGGGCACAUCACCAGUUCCAGGACGUAAAGAAAGAGAACGGCAGGAAGGCACCGCGGCAUUUAAGGGCUGCUGCCAAAAUCCAUCCUCCACCAAGGCAGCAGGGACCCUCCAGCUGGAAGAAGAUUUCGGGGCAGUCAGGAACCGUGGAAUCUGUGCCAUCAUGGGGGUAUUGUGGCUGGCCAGGUUCAUGCUGGGAUGUACAGCAGUUUUGUAUGUGGAACAAGCCCUGGGUCAAUAUGAAGGGGACAUGCAGACAGACAGAUUUGCAGGCUAUGAGGAAAGACAGCCAGCAAACAGAGUGAGAAGAAGAGGCCAAGACACUUUACGAGGACCCAAUGUCUGUGGCUCAAGGUUCCACUCCUACUGCUGCCCUGGCUGGAAAACGCUGCCUGGAGGGAACCAGUGCAUUGUCCCAAUUUGCAGGAAUUCUUGUGGUGAUGGAUUUUGUUCACGGCCAAACAUGUGUACGUGCUCCAAUGGACAACUCUCUCCCAACUGUGGCUCAGCUGGAGUCCAAACCUGCAAUGUGAGAUGCAUGAAUGGUGGAAGCUGCAAUGAGGAAUCUUGCCUCUGCCAGAAAGGUUACACCGGAACGUACUGUGGGCAGCCUGUCUGUGAAAAUGGCUGUCAGAAUGGAGGCCGUUGCAUUGGACCAAACCGUUGUGCUUGUGUUUAUGGAUUUACUGGCCCCCAGUGUGAGAGAGACUAUCGUACUGGUCCCUGCUUUAGCCAAGUGAAUAACCAGAUGUGUCAGGGCCAACUCAGUGGGAUCGUCUGUACCAAGACCAUGUGUUGUGCCACCAUUGGACGGGCCUGGGGUCACCCAUGUGAGAUGUGCCCUGCCCAGCCUCACCCUUGCCGACGAGGUUUCAUUCCCAACAUUCGUACUGGAGCCUGCCAAGAUGUGGAUGAAUGUCAAGCCAUUCCUGGACUCUGCCAGGGUGGUAACUGCAUCAACACAGUGGGUUCUUAUGAGUGCAAAUGCCCUGCAGGACACAAGCAGAGUGAGACCAGCCACAGAUGUGAAGAUGUGGAUGAGUGUGGCGCAAUCUCCAGCGUGUGUGAUGGUGGAGAGUGUACCAACACAGCAGGCAGCUACGUGUGCACGUGUCCACGUGGUUUCAUGACCAGCCAUGAUGGAUCCCGCUGCAUUGACCAACGGGUUGGGACAUGUUUCUCUGCUCUCAUUGGGGGCCGCUGUGCUGGGGACCUCCCUGGUCAAUACACCAAGAUGCAGUGCUGCUGUGACUCAGGGCGUUGCUGGGCCAUUGGUCAAACUCCAGAAAUGUGCCCUGUCCGGGGGUCCGAUGAGUACCGCAGGCUUUGCAUCGAAGGACUCCCAGUCGUGCCAGGGUUCCCUGGGAGCUUUCCAGGAAUUCCUGGAUUUGGGCCCAAUGGUGUCGGGCCAGGACUCAACGGGCCUGGAGGCAUCGGACCAAAUGGGGCAAAUGGACAAGGCGGAAUCCCAGGGCUGCCUGGAAUGGGCCCGGGAAGUUCAAGCAUUGGAACUGCGACUUUAAAUCAGACCAUUGACAUAUGCAAGCAUUUCACUAAUCUCUGCCUGAACGGGCGCUGUAUCCCCACCCCAUCCAGCUACCGCUGUGAGUGCAACAUGGGGUACAAGCAGGAUGUGCGCGGAGAGUGCAUUGAUGUUGAUGAGUGCUCCAGCAGCCCCUGCGUGCAUGGUGACUGUGUGAACACACCUGGCUCCUAUCACUGCAAGUGCCAUGAAGGCUUCCAGAGCACCCCAACAAAGCAGGCUUGCAUCGAUAUUGAUGAGUGCAUCAUGAAUGGAGUGAUGUGUAGGAACGGGCGCUGCGUUAAUACUGAUGGCAGCUUUCAGUGUAUCUGCAAUGCUGGCUUUGAAAUCACCCCUGAUGGCAAGAAUUGUGUUGAUCAUGAUGAAUGUGCCACGACCAACAUGUGCCUCAAUGGGAUGUGUAUCAACGAAGAUGGCAGCUUCAAAUGUAUCUGCAAGCCAGGUUUUGUGCUGGCUCCCAAUGGGCGCUACUGUGUUGACAUCGACGAGUGUGAGACACCAGGAAUUUGUAUGAAUGGCUGGUGCAUUAACACAGAGGGCUCCUUCCGAUGCGAAUGCCUUGGAGGCCUGGCUAUUGGGGUGGAUGGACGGGUCUGUGUGGACACCCACAUGCGCAGCACCUGUUACGGAGGCAUUAAAAAGGGCACAUGUGCCCGUCCCUUUCCAGGGGCAGUCACCAAGUCUGAGUGCUGCUGUGCUAACCCAGAUCAUGGCUUUGGAGAGCCCUGCCAACCCUGUCCUGCCAAAAACUCUGCUGAAUUCCAGGCACUCUGCAGCAGCGGCAUUGGAAUAACAGCUGAUGGCAGAGACAUCAAUGAAUGUGCCCUCAACCCUGACAUCUGCCCCAAUGGCAUGUGUGAGAACCUGCGGGGGAGCUACCGCUGCAUCUGCAACCUGGGCUACGAGUCCGAUCCCACGGGCAAGAACUGUGUGGAUGUUGAUGAAUGCACCGUCAACCGUUUGCUGUGUGACAAUGGGCUGUGCCGCAACACACCUGGCAGCUACACCUGCACCUGCCCCAAGGGCUUUGUCUUCAGGACUGAGACAGAUACCUGUGAAGAUAUCAAUGAGUGCACCUCUAACCCUUGUGUGAACGGUGUCUGCAGGAACAAUGCUGGCUCCUUUGCUUGUGAGUGCUCCCCAGGCAGCAAGCUGGACCCCAGUGGCACCAUCUGCGUGGACAGCAUGAAGGGGACGUGCUGGCUGAACAUCCAGGAUGGGCGUUGUGAGGUCAACAUCAAUGGGGCCACACUGAAAUCAGAGUGCUGUGCUACACUGGGAGCAGCGUGGGGAAGCCCCUGCGAGCGCUGUGAGAUUGAUACUGCCUGUCCCAGGGGCUAUGCCAGGAUGAAGGGGGUUACUUGUGAAGAUGUGAAUGAGUGUGAUGUCUUUCCUGGUGUCUGCCCAAAUGGCCGUUGUGUGAACACAGCUGGCUCCUUUCGGUGUGAGUGUCCUGAAGGACUGACCCUCGAUGGCACUGCUAGGACAUGUGUGGAUGUGCGCGUGGAACAGUGCUACAUGAAGUGGGAUGAAGAUGAGUGCACGGAGCCUCUGCCGGGCAAGUACCGGAUCGACAUGUGCUGCUGUUCUGUGGGCUCAGCCUGGGGCAUCGAUUGUGAAGAAUGCCCUAAGGUUGGCUCUAGCGAGUACAAGGCCAUCUGCCCAAGGGGACCCGGCUUUGCCAACCGAGGGGAUGUGCUUUCAGGCAGGCCCUUCUACAAAGAUGUGAAUGAAUGUAAAGUCUUCUCUGGCCUGUGCACUCAUGGGACCUGUCGAAACACCAUUGGCAGCUUCAGAUGUAUCUGUGGCAAUGGCUUUGCUCUGGAUGCUGAGGAAAGGAACUGCACAGAUAUCGACGAGUGUCGCAUCUCACCAGACCUGUGUGGUCAUGGCACCUGUGUCAACACGCCUGGCAGCUUUGAGUGUGAAUGCUUCGAAGGCUAUGAGAGCGGCUUCAUGAUGAUGAAGAACUGCAUGGAUAUCAAUGAGUGUGAGCGAGACCCACUGCUAUGCCGAGGUGGAAUCUGCAUGAACACAGAUGGCAGCUUUGAAUGCAUCUGCCCCCCUGGACAUGAGCUGACUUCUGAAGGGAACACUUGCAUAGAUAUCAAUGAAUGCUCCCUCAGUGACAACCUGUGUCGUAACGGACGCUGCGUCAACGUCAUUGGUACCUACCAGUGUGCGUGUGAUUCGGGCUUCCAGGCCACGCCAGACAGGCAGGGCUGUGUUGACAUUGAUGAGUGCACCAUAACCAAUGGUGGCUGUGACACACACUGCUCCAACUCAGAGGGCAGCUAUGAGUGCAGCUGCAGUGAAGGCUAUGCACUGAUGCCAGACAAGAGAUCAUGUGCAGAUAUUGAUGAAUGUGAGGAUAAUCCAGACAUCUGUGAUGGUGGGCAGUGCACGAACAUCCCUGGGGAGUAUCGCUGCCUCUGCUUUGAUGGCUUCAUGGCAUCACUGGACAUGAAGACUUGUAUUGAUGUGAAUGAAUGUGAUCUCAACCCUAACAUCUGCCUGCAUGGCGAGUGUGAAAACACGAAGGGCUCCUUCAUCUGUCACUGCCAGCUGGGCUAUUUCGUCAAGAAGGGAACCACAGGGUGCACAGACAUUGAUGAAUGUGAGAUUGGGGCUCACAACUGUGACAUGCACGCCUCCUGCAUCAACGUGCCUGGGAGCUUCAAGUGCAAGUGUCGCACAGGCUGGCUUGGAGAUGGGCUGAAGUGCAAUGACUUGGACGAGUGUGCAACAGAAGAGCACAAGUGCAACCUAAAUGCCAACUGCAUCAACACACCGGGCUCCUACCGCUGCGCCUGCCGAGAAGGCUUCAAUGGAGAUGGCUUUUCUUGCUCAGAUGUGGAUGAGUGUGCAGACAAUGUGAACCUGUGUGAGAAUGGACAGUGUCUCAAUGCACCUGGGGGUUACCGCUGCGAGUGUGAGAUGGGCUUCAAUCCCACAGAGGACAGCAAGGCCUGCCAGGACAUUGAUGAAUGCACCUUCCAGAAUAUCUGUGUCUUUGGGACCUGCCAGAACCUGCCUGGCAUGUUCCGUUGUGCCUGUGAUGAUGGCUAUGAACUGGACAGAAGUGGAGGCAACUGCACAGACAUCAAUGAAUGUGCAGACCCCGUGAACUGUAUCAACGGGCUGUGCGUCAACACUCCUGGCAGCUACCUGUGCAACUGUCCACAAGACUUUGAGUUGAACCCCACUGGUGUGGGCUGUGUGGAUACCCGUGUUGGGAACUGCUUCCUGGACACCCAGGAUCGUGGAGAUGGGGGGAUCUCCUGCAGUGCAGAAAUUGGAGUUGGUGUCACUCGGGCAUCCUGCUGCUGCUCACUGGGUCGUGCAUGGGGCAACCCCUGCGAGCUUUGUCCUCCAGCCAACACGACUGAGUACAAGACCCUGUGCCCUGGAGGAGAAGGUUUCCGGCCCAACCCCAUCACUGUCAUCCUGGAAGAUAUCGACGAAUGCCAGGAGCUGCCAGGUCUCUGCCAGGGUGGCAACUGUGUGAACACUUUUGGCAGCUUCCAGUGUGAGUGCCCCCUUGGCUACUACCUCAACGAGGACACACGCAUCUGUGAAGAUAUUGAUGAGUGCUCUGCUCACAUUGGGAUCUGCGGCCCUGGGACCUGUUACAACACCCUUGGCAACUACACCUGCGUGUGCCCCCCCGAGUACAUGCAAGUCAACGGAGGAAAUAACUGCAUGGACAUGAGGAAGAGCGUGUGCUAUCGCAACUACAAUGACACGUGUGAGAACGAGCUCUCCUUCAACAUGACUAAGAAGAUGUGCUGCUGCUCCUACAACAUUGGCAAAGCCUGGAACAAGCCAUGCGAGCCCUGCCCUACACCAGCCAGCCCUGAGUACCAGAUCCUGUGUGGGAACCAGGCCCCUGGCUUUAUCAUCGACAUCCACACAGGGAAGCCCAUUGAUAUUGAUGAGUGCAGCGAGAUCCCUGCUAUCUGUACCAAUGGUGUCUGCAUCAACCAAAUUGGCAGCUUCCGGUGUGAGUGCCCCAUUGGAUUCAGCUACAACAACAUACUGCUCAUCUGUGAAGACAUUGACGAAUGCAGCAGCGGAGAGAACCUCUGCCAGCGCAAUGCUGACUGCAUCAACAUCCCAGGCAGCUACAGGUGCGAAUGCUCGACUGGAUACAAGCUGUCACCUAGCGGAGCCUGCGUGGGUCGCAACGAAUGCCAGGAAAUCCCCAAUGUCUGCAGCCACGGGGACUGCGUUGACACUGAGGGCAGCUACAUCUGCAUCUGUCAUAACGGCUUCAAGGCCACCGGGGAGCAGACCAUGUGCAUGGAUAUUGAUGAAUGUGACCGACAGCCCUGUGGAAAUGGGACCUGCAAGAACACAGUUGGGUCCUACAACUGCCUCUGCUUCCCUGGCUUUGAGCUAACACACAAUAAUGACUGCAUGGACAUUGAUGAGUGCUCAUCCAUGGUGGGGCAGGUGUGUCGGAAUGGCCAGUGCAUCAACAGCAUCGGCUCCUUCCAGUGCCUGUGCCAAGAGGGCUAUGACCGAACUCCCGAUGGGAAGAACUGUGUAGACAUCAACGAGUGUGUGAGCCUGCCUGGGACCUGCUCCCCAGGCACUUGCCAGAACCUGGAGGGCUCCUUCCGCUGUAUUUGCCCCCCUGGGUACGAAGUGCAGAACGACAAUUGCAUUGAUAUCAAUGAAUGUGAAGAGGAGCCCAACAUCUGCCUCUUUGGGACCUGCACCAAUACUCCUGGCAGCUUCCAAUGUGUCUGCCCCCCAGGCUUUGUGCUGUCUGAUAAUGGCCGGCGGUGCUUUGAUACUCGCCAGAGCUUCUGCUUCACUCGCUUUGACAAUGGGAAGUGCUCUGUUCCCAAGGCCUUCAACACCACCAAGGCUCGGUGCUGCUGCAGCAAGAUGCCAGGAGAAGGCUGGGGAGACCCAUGUGAGCUGUGCCCGCAAGAAGGAAAUGUUGCCUUCCAAGAGUUGUGUCCAUAUGGCCAUGGAGCCAUCCCAGGUCCGGGUGACACCCGAGAAGAUGUGAAUGAAUGCUCAGAGAACCUGGGUGUCUGCAUCAACGGGGCCUGCAUUAAUACUGAUGGCUCCUUCCGCUGCGAGUGCCCUUUUGGGUACAACCUCGACUACACAGGAGUCAACUGUGUGGAUACAGAUGAAUGCUCCAUCGGCAACCCCUGUGGGAAUGGUACCUGCACAAAUGUGGUGGGAGGCUUCGAAUGUGCCUGUGAUGAGGGCUUUGAGCCAGGGCCUAUGAUGACAUGUGAAGAUAUUAAUGAGUGUGCAUCGAAUCCCCUGCUUUGUGCAUUCCGCUGCAUCAACACCUUUGGCUCCUAUGAGUGCACAUGUCCGUCUGGAUACGCACUCCGAGAUGACAGAAGAAUGUGCAGAGAUCUGGAUGAGUGUGCUGAGGGUCUGCACGACUGCGAGUCUCGAGGAAUGCUGUGCAAGAAUCUCAUUGGCACCUUCAUGUGUAUCUGCCCACCAGGAAUGCAGCGCAGACCUGAUGGAGAGGGCUGCACAGAUGAGAAUGAGUGUCGCACCAAGCCUGGAAUCUGCCCCAAUGGCCGCUGCAUCAACACGGUGGGAAGUUACCGCUGUGAUUGCAAUGAAGGUUUUGAAGUCAGUCCUUCUGGCACAGAGUGUAUUGACACCCGCCAGGGCUUCUGCUUCACUGAAGUACUGCAAACCAUGUGCCAGAUGUCUUCCACCAACCGCAACCUGGUCACCAAAUCUGAGUGCUGCUGCAACAGUGGGCGCAGCUGGGGUCCCCAGUGUGAGCUGUGCCCCCUUCUUGGAACCGCCCAGUACAAGAAAAUGUGUCCCCAUGGUCCAGGUUACUCCACUGAUGGAAGAGACAUCGACGAGUGCAAGGUACUGCCCAACCUCUGCAAGAACGGACAGUGCAUCAACAGCAUUGGCUCCUUCCGCUGCCACUGCAAGCUGGGCUACACAGCAGAUAUCACAGGCACAGCCUGUGUGGAUCUGGAUGAAUGCAACCAGUCCCCUAAACCAUGUAACUUCAUCUGCAAGAACACAGAGGGAAGCUACCAGUGCUCGUGCCCCCGAGGAUACGUUCUGCAAGAAGACGGGAAGAUUUGCAAAGACUUGGACGAAUGUUCCACCAAGCAGCACAACUGCCAGUUCCUGUGUGUGAACAUUAUUGGAGGAUUCAACUGCAAAUGCCCUCCAGGCUUCACUCAGCACCACUCAUCCUGCAUUGACAAUAAUGAGUGCACGGCUCAGCCCUCUUUGUGUGGAGCCAAAGGACAGUGUCUGAACACACCAGGCAGCUACAACUGUGAGUGUCAGAAGGGAUUCUCCCUGGACAGCUCUGGUGUCAACUGUGAAGAUGUGGAUGAGUGUGACGGAAACCACUGGUGCCAGCAUGGCUGCCAGAACGUGCUUGGAGGAUACCGAUGUGGCUGUCCGCAAGGCUACGUGCAGCAUUACCAGUGGAAUCAGUGUGUGGAUGAAAAUGAGUGCUCCAGCCCAACUGCCUGUGGCUCUGCCUCCUGCUACAACACUCUGGGAAGUUUCAAGUGUGUCUGUCCAUCUGGCUUUGACUUUGACCAGGCCUUCGGGGGAUGCCAGGAUGUGGAUGAAUGCUCAGCGGGCGGCAGCCCCUGUAGUUAUGGCUGCUCCAACACAGAUGGAGGUUACCUCUGCGGCUGUCCUGGAGGCUACUUCCGAGCAGGACAAGGACACUGUAUUUCUGGCUUGGGUUUUGGGAAAGGUUCCUACCUUCCUGCCCCUCAAGAAGAGGAUGAAGACAAUCUGCUCUCUCCUGAAACCUGCUAUGAGUGCAAGAUAAAUGGCUACCCCAAGAGAGGUCGACAGCGACGCAGUGUCAAUGGCACCGAGAGGCACAAGGAUCACACUGUGAAUUUGGCCAGCAUGGAUGUGGAGGCUCCUCUGUCCAUGAUGCUGAACCUCUCUGACCUGGCUCAUAAUGAGCACAUCCUGGAGCUUCUGCCAGCUGUGGAGCCGCUGGAGAACCGUGUGCGGUACCUCAUCUCCCAUGGCAAUGAGGAUGGCUACUUCCGCAUCCACCAAAAAGAGGGGCUCAGCUACCUGCACCUUGGCCGCAAGAAAAUAGUGCCCGGCACCUACCUGCUGGAAAUCAUGAGUGUGCCCCUGUACCGCAAGAGGGAACUGCAGAAACUAGAGGCCAAGAAUGACCUCAACUACUUAGCAGGGGAGCUGGGCCAAGCACUGAGGAUGAAGCUCCAGCUCCAGCUCUACUAACAGCAGUGAGACCCACCCACCCAACCAGCCGCCAGUACAGUCCUUAGCCUUGCCAUCCACACCUGGAAACAACUGCCUCUUCUUUUGCCACACCCCCUGCCACCACCUCCCCUACUGCACUGCACAGCUGAUGGGAAAUGUCCCCUGUGGGCUCAGCACUCACCUGGGCCACGCAGGGGUAUUCCAUUCCAUGGGGUGCUUGGCUCAAAACCAAGCCACACCACAAAAGAGCUCGUGCAAGCUUUGCCAAAGGUUUCCAGCUGUGUUAGGAGGGCGUCCUCCCAGUGCUCAGCUCCUUCUGUCUCCUUUAAACAAGGUGCUGUUGAUCUGAGCUGGCAGAAGCAGCACCACGGGAAGGCUCCAGCCCUUCACACUCACAGCCCAUACACCGCCCCACAUCGCAGUAAAUGGGAGGGGAUCUGGGGGCGGCUUUGGGAGGUGCUUCAAGGGUGUGAUGUCAGUGCCUUCCCCAACAGUUCUUUUUCCUUCUUCGAUUUUGCGUUGUCAUAAUGGUGCUGCACAAGAACCCUACCUACUCUGGCUCCUCUGUCUCUCUGUCCUCUCCAUGUCCUGUGGUCCUUUUGGGCUGCUCUGUCAAACUGAAAAGCUCGCUGGUUCCCUGGGGUCUGGAAGAGCAUCCAGCUGCAAUCUGAGGAGCCUCACAGCAAGGGCGGCUGACAAGGGACAGAGGUCUCUGGGAGUGUUCAGAAAUGAGAAAGAAGGAAUGGAAAACUGCUGAGAGUGUGCUCAUGUUCUCAUGUGAGGAGAAAAGUGAGAAUUAUGUCUGCUCUGAAGUGCGGAUCCGGUUGGAAAUUGCUUGAUUUCCUUCCUUUCCUCUGCUAUUUCUCCACCUUUUCCUAUGUGCAAACCACAUAUUGAUACAAAAACCUUACAUUAUUCUUAGGGAGUGUUACCUUGUUAGCAGCAGUGCUGACAGGAGCAGAGGUGGACCCACAGGAGCGGCAGAUGGCUGCUUGUGGGGACCAAAGAGAGCUCAGCCUGGGAAUGUCACACCAUUUGGGAUCACUACCAGCACACAGCUCAUUCUGGCUCUCAGUGGGGAAUUGUCCAUGGAAGGAAACUGCAUAACCGUGCCUACAAGGAGUACUGCAUGCAUUCUGACCACACUGCAGACCUGGAGUGCAUGUGGGAGGUUUCCCACUGCUUCAGAAGCAUUUGAGGUUCAUUGUUGACCAAACCCUGAUACUCUACUCUUCUUUUUUGUUGUUGUUUUGCUGAUGGCUGCCCACCUCCCACUCAGGCCUGGCUGUGCAGCCCGGGCUGCCUAACCCCUGCAGCUCUGGGUCCAUGUGUCUGAGCCCUCACGCUGCCCAGUGCACAGUGCUCAGCACUUUUGCUGAAGCUCUGACGAUGUGACUGCUGUGAUGUGACAUGCCACAGUUUGGAGAUCUUCAUAGAGAAACUUAGACCCCCCAUUAAUCUGCUCGGCCUGAUUGCUUCUGUUUGGAAACCCCAAUGUGAGCAUGCCAGCCCCAGCCUGCAGCUCGUCCUAGCACCCAGCUCAUGUCCCUGCCCACGUCAUCCCGCACAGCCACAGGGAACAGAGCAAGGAACCACGGGGGUGGCGAUGCCAAGCAGUCUUAGAAUGAAGUUUGGAAGAGAAACCUGGCAGGGUGCAUUUGGGCCACAUUGCCUUCCACAAAGAGCAAAACCCAGACAUGAGACAGAUAGGUCCCAGCUCCAGCUGGGAGCAAGCUCUGGUUUUCCCACUGAACAGCAAAGUGUGUUCCCACAGACAUCUCCAUCACUAAAGCUGUGACAGCCUGAGGCAUUUAGGGGCUUGUUGCUUGCUGUUUCCACCUUUGUCAGGCAGUUUUCCUACAUCAGUGGUAUUGAGAAAUGGGAACCUUUGGGUUUUGUCACUCAUCACUGGCACUGGGUACUGUUAUCAGAUGGGUGGAAGCCCCAGUGUGCUGCUGGAUGGUCAGCAGCAUUGAGCAUGGCACUUCUCGUGCUGUGUGGUACAACAUUCCCUACCUCUUAGCAGGACAGCUUUACUCCUGGGGUUCCUGGCCAAGUGAGACUUGCUCUUGAUAGUGAUGGAGAAAUUGCUGCUGUACUUCUCUGUCCUUACUAUCACCUCACACUGACCCAAGUCUCCCUUGCUACAGCUGAAACCCCAAACAUUUGUCCUGCUCACCACGGAGGGGACAUAGAGGAGAAUCCAUGACCACACAUGUGCGUACCCCAGCCUUUCAGAUAUUUAAACAAUAUGUCACAAGUUUCCCCUCAUAUUGCCCCACACUAAGUUACCCCUUCCAGCAGCCUUCCUCUUGGAUCACAGUUCUCUCAUUGUGCUGCCUUUGCUUAGAUGACAUUCCAGGCUCUAUCGUAUUUAUACUGAUAAAAAAUUGAAAGCUCGUCUCAUACAUCACUUCAUCCAACUUUAACUGCCAAAGGACAGAAGUGUGGUUAUGUUGGUGUAAUCACAGAACCAUAGUGCUGUCAGUCAAGUACAAACUAAACUCUGUACAAGUCUUUGUAUGUGCAUCCUUAGAUAUAGUAAACAUGUACUUUU